rnacentral:rRNA from 1 species
UACGUAGGGGGCAAGCGUUGUCCGGAUUUACUGGGCGUAAAGAGCGUGUAGGCGGCCAAGCAGGUCCGUUGUGAAAACUGGAGGCUUAACCUCCAGACGUCGAUGGAAACCCUCAGGCUAGAGUCCGGAAGAGGAGAGUGGAAUUCCUGGUGUAGCGGUGAAAUGCGCAGAUAUCAGGAAGAACACCUAUGGCGAAGGCAGCUCUCUGGGACGGUACUGACGCUGAGACGCGAAAGCGUGGGGAGCGAGCGGG